rnacentral:rRNA from 1 species
AGCGAACGCUGGCGGCAGGCCUAACACAUGCAAGUCGAACGAACCCUUCGGGGUUAGUGGCGGACGGGUGAGUAACACGUGGGAACGUGCCUUUAGGUUCGGAAUAACUCAGGGAAACUUGUGCUAAUACCGAAUGUGCCCUUCGGGGGAAAGAUUUAUCGCCUUUAGAGCGGCCCGCGUCUGAUUAGCUAGUUGGUGAGGUAAUGGCUCACCAAGGCUACGAUCAGUAGCUGGUCUGAGAGGAUGACCAGCCACAUUGGGACUGAGACACGGCCCAAACUCCCACGGGAGGCAGCAGUGGGGAAUCUUGCGCAAUGGGCGAAAGCCUGACGCAGCCAUGCCGCGUGGAUGAUGAAGGUCUUAGGAUUGUAAAAUCCUUUCACCGGUGAAGAUAAUGACUGUAGCCGGAGAAGAAGCCCCGGCUAACUUCGUGCCAGCCGCCGCGGUAACAC